rnacentral:snRNA from 1 species
GUGCUUGCUUUGGCAGCACAUAUACUAUUGAAAUGAUACAGAGAAGAUUAGCACGGCCCCUGUGCAAGGAUGACACGCAAAUUUGUGAAGCGUUCCAUAUUUUU